AGUGUGAAGGCCAAGUUGACGACUUUGCCGGAUUCGCCGAGAGGUGGUGCAUGGCCGCCGUCAGCUCGUAUCGUGAGACGUCCUGUCAAGUCAGGUAACGAGCGAGACCCUCACCCUUAGUUGCCAUCGGAUCCCGCAAGGGAUGCCGGGAACUCUAAGGGGACCGCUGUCGAUAAGACAGAGGAGGGAGAGGGCGACGGUAGGUCCGUAUGCCCCGAAUCCCCCGGGCAACACGCGGGCUACAAUGCGUAGGGCAGAGGGCUGCGAUCCCGAAAGGGAGAGCUAAUCCCUAAACCUGCGCUUAGUUCGGAUCGAGGGCUGCAACCCGCCCUCGUGAAGCCUGGAAUCCCUAGUAAUCGCGUGUACGAUUGU
rnacentral:rRNA from 1 species